rnacentral:rRNA from 1 species
CGGCGUGCCUAAUACAUGCAAGUCGAGCGAACGGACGAGAAGCUUGCUUCUCUGAUGUUAGCGGCGGACGGGUGAGUAACACGUGGAUAACCUACCUAUAAGACUGGGAUAACUUCGGGAAACCGGAGCUAAUACCGGAUAAUAUUUUGAACCGCAUGGUUCAAAAGUGAAGGACGGUCUUGCUGUCACUUAUAGAUGGAUCCGCGCUGCAUUAGCUAGUUGGUAAGGUAACGGCUUACCAAGGCAACGAUGCAUAGCCGACCUGAGAGGGUGAUCGGCCACACUGGAACUGAGACACGGUCCAGACUCCUACGGGAGGCAGCAGUAGGGAAUCUUCCGCAAUGGGCGAAAGCCUGACGGAGCAACGCCGCGUGAGUGAUGAAGGUCUUCGGAUCGUAAAACUCUGUUAUUAGGGAAGAACAUAUGUGUAAGUAACUGUGCACAUCUUGACGGUACCUAAUCAGAAAGCCACGGCUAACUACGUGCCAGCAGCCGCGGUAAUACGUAGGUGGCAAGCGUUAUCCGGAAUUACUGGGCGUAAAGCGCGCGUAGGCGGUUUUUUAAGUCUGAUGUGAAAGCCCACGGCUCAACCGUGGAGGGUCAUUGGAAACUGGAAAACUUGAGUGCAGAAGAGGAAAGUGGAAUUCCAUGUGUAGCGGUGAAAUGCGCAGAGAUAUGGAGGAACACCAGUGGCGAAGGCGACUUUCUGGUCUGUAACUGACGCUGAUGUGCGAAAGCGUGGGGAUCAAACAGGAUUAGAUACCCUGGUAGUCCACGCCAUAAACGAUGAGUGCUAAGUGUUAGGGGGUUUCCGCCCCUUAGUGCUGCAGCUAACGCAUUAAGCACUCCGCCUGGGGAGUACGACCGCAAGGUUGAAACUCAAAGGAAUUGACGGGGACCCGCACAAGCGGUGGAGCAUGUGGUUUAAUUCGAAGCAACGCGAAGAACCUUACCAAAUCUUGACAUCCUUUGACAACUCUAGAGAUAGAGCCUUCCCCUUCGGGGGACAAAGUGACAGGUGGUGCAUGGUUGUCGUCAGCUCGUGUCGUGAGAUGUUGGGUUAAGUCCCGCAACGAGCGCAACCCUUAAGCUUAGUUGCCAUCAUUAAGUUGGGCACUCUAAGUUGACUGCCGGUGACAAACCGGAGGAAGGUGGGGAUGACGUCAAAUCAUCAUGCCCCUUAUGAUUUGGGCUACACACGUGCUACAAUGGACAAUACAAAGGGCAGCGAAACCGCGAGGUCAAGCAAAUCCCAUAAAGUUGUUCUCAGUUCGGAUUGUAGUCUGCAACUCGACUACAUGAAGCUGGAAUCGCUAGUAAUCGUAGAUCAGCAUGCUACGGUGAAUACGUUCCCGGGUCUUGUACACACCGCCCGUCACACCACGAGAGUUUGUAACACCCGAAGCCGGUGGAGUAACCAAAGAGGAGCUAGCCGUCGAAGGUGGGACAAA